AAUCAACGCUGGCGGCGUGCCUCAGACAUGCAAGUCGAACGCGAAAGUCCCCUUCGGGGGACAAGUAGAGUGGCGCACGGGUGAGUAACACGUAGGUAAUCUACCUUCGGAUGGGGAAUAACAACCGGAACGGUUGCUAAUACCGCAUAAUGCAGCGGCACCUAAUGGUGACAGUUGUUAAAGCGGGGGAUCGAAAGACCUCGCGUCUGAAGAGGAGCCUGCGGCGGAUUAGCUAGNGGUUAAGGUAAUGGCUUACCAAGGCGACGAUCCGUAGCCGGCCUGAGAGGGGCGGUCGGCCACACUGACACUGACAUACGGGUCAGACUCCUACGGGGAGGCAGCAGUCGGGAAUUUUGGGCAAUGGGCGAAAGCCUGACCCAGCAACGCCGCGUGAAGGAUGAAAUCCCUC
rnacentral:rRNA from 1 species